rnacentral:tRNA from 1 species
CCGUAGCUCAGCUGGAUAGAGCGUUGGCCUCCGGAGCCAAAGGUCAGAGGUUCGAAUCCUCUCGGGU